GAUCAUGGGCUCAGGACGAACGCUGGCGGCGCGCCUAACACAUGCAAGUCGAACGGAGAUUACAGGCGGAAGUUUUCGGAUGGAAGCUUGUAAACUUAGUGGCGGACGGGUGAGUAACACGUGAGCAACCUGCCUAUCAGAGGGGGAUAACGAUUGGAAACGAUCGCUAAUACCGCAUGACAUAGCGGAACCGCAUGGUUCUGUUAUCAAAGAUUUAUCGCUGAUAGAUGGG
rnacentral:rRNA from 1 species